AGCAGAGAGGGAAAGGGAGAGUUCAUCCACCCUCCACCCAGUGCUGCCUGGAGUGAAAGACCAGGAUGAACUCUAUCCUUGUCAGAAGUACUCAAGUACUGUACUUCUGGACUCAUCAGAAAGCAUUUCUUUUAUUUUAAGUGCAAUUCAAUUUCCACCAGUCUUUAAAUUGCAUCUGCUGUUAGACUGGACAUGUCCAACUUGCUGAAGUGUUGCCCCCAGGUCCCUACAAGCACUGCCAGGUCUUUUCGCAGAAUGGGAUAUUAUCUUUCUGGAAGACUUGAUUUAUUGUGACAUCCCUGCAGAUAUGGAUGGUGUAGUUUAGCUUAGCCACUGAUGUGUGUUGCCUAAUCUGAAAACAGCACAUGAGCAAUGCUGCCUUCUUUCUCUAGCCUGUUCAGUUCAGCUUCUCCCUAAGGGCAUACUAUGGCCGACUCCUCUUUUUUCAUAUAAAGUCUGGCUUUAAUCCACAAACACUAACCUUGAUGUUAGUUAAUUAAUCCAGGCUAAGACCCAUACACAGACAUACAUAUGUGAGAAAGCUCCCACAAGUAUAUAGUAAAAGACUUGGUGAUCACUACUUUUUAUCACUUUUCAUUUGCUUUGUUUCUGUGACCAAAACAGCAACAAGGGCAUACAGAAGGCAAAGGGGGAAAGUAAACAUGCAAGGGAUUGGGUUGUAUAACUAGUAUUUUAAAAUGUGCAUUGAGAACCAAACCUCCAACUGAAUCCAAAUUCGGACCUUCUGCAAGAGCAAGCAGUGCUGUAACCGCUCUUCUGUUUUGUUACAGCUAGUAAGUGUGACUCUUCCGCUUAAGAAAAGUCAUGUUUCUUCCAGCACAAUAAACA